rnacentral:rRNA from 1 species
GAUUAAUACCUCAUAGUAUUAUAGAGUGGCAUCACUUUAUAAUUAAAGAUUUAUCGGUGAAAGAUGAGCAUGCGUCCCAUUAGUUAGUUGGUAAGGUAACGGCUUACCAAGACUACGAUGGGUAGGGGUCCUGAGAGGGAGAUCCCCCACACUGGUACUGAGACACGGACCAGACUCCUACGGGAGGCAGCAGUGAGGAAUAUUGGACAAUGGGCGCAAGCCUGAUCCAGCCAUGCCGCGUGCAGGAUGACGGUCCUAUGGAUUGUAAACUGCUUUUAUACAGGAAGAAACACCUCUACGUGUAGAGACUUGACGGUACUGUAAGAAUAAGGAUCGGCUAACUCCGUGCCAGCAGCCGCGGUAAUACGGAGGAUCCAAGCGUUAUCCGGAAUCAUUGGGUUUAAAGGGUCCGUAGGCGGUUUAGUAAGUCAGUGGUGAAAGCCCAUCGCUCAACGGUGGAACGGCCAUUGAUACUGCUAGACUUGAAUUAUUAGGAAGUAACUAGAAUAUGUAGUGUAGCGGUGAAAUGCUUAGAGAUUACAUGGAAUACCAAUUGCGAAGGCAGGUUACUACUAAUUGAUUGA